CCCAAAGCUUAACUUUGGAACUGCAAUUAAAACUGCUCGACUAGAGUUUGAUAGAGGAAAGCGGAAUACAUAGUGUAGAGGUGAAAUUCGUAGUUAUUAUGUAGAACACCAGUUGCGAAGGCGGCUUUCUGGAUCAACACUGACGCUGAGGCGCGAAAGUAUGGGUAGCAAAGAGGAUUAGAUACCCUCGUAGUCCAUACCAUAAACGAUGAUUGCUAGAUGUUGGAAAUUUAUUUUCAGUAUCGCAGCUAACGCAUUAAGCAAUCCGCCUGGGGAGUACGACCGCAAGGUUAAAACUCAAAUGAAUUGACGGGGACCCGCACAAGCGGUGGAGCAUGUGGUUUAAUUCGAAGAUACGCGCAGAACCUUACCAACCCUUGACAUGUCUGUCGCGAGUUUUAGGAAACUAGACUUUUCGGUUCGGCCGGACAGAACACAGGUGCUGCAUGGCUGUCGUCAGCUCGUGUCGUGAGAUGUUGGGUUAAGUCCCGCAACGAGCGCAACCCCCUACUUUUAGUUGCCAUCAGGUCAUGCUGGGCACUCUGAAAAGAAACUGCCAGUGAUAAAGCUGGAGGAAGGUGGGGGAUGACGUCAAGUCCCUCAAUGAGCCCUUUACGGGUUUGGGGCUACACACGUGCUACAAUGUUAGUUGACAUUGAGAAUUGCAAAGGUGGCGACGCUAAGCUUAAACUCAAAAAAUCUACCUCAGUUUCGGG
rnacentral:rRNA from 1 species